UACAGAGGGGGCAAGCGUUGUUCGGAAUUACUGGGCGUAAAGGGCGCGUAGGCGGCCAACUAAGUCAGACGUGAAAUCCCUCGGCUUAACCGGGGAACUGCGUCUGAUACUGGAUGGCUUGAGUUUGGGAGAGGGACGCGGAAUUCCAGGUGUAGCGGUGAAAUGCGUAGAUAUCUGGAGGAACACCGGUGGCGAAGGCGGCGUCCUGGACCAACACUGACACUGAGGAGCGAAAGCCAGGGGAGCAAACGGG
rnacentral:rRNA from 1 species